UUUGCGUAUUCAAAAUAUUAGUUAUCUAUUACGCGAAUAUACAGCAGCGGUCGGUUUUAUUACACGAUGCGGAUUCUUGGCUUUUUAAUUUUCCGCGAUCGACUGAGAAAAUGUCGCGUAGCCGGAAAAUGGGGAGGAAGAGGGGCGUAAUUUUUUUCCGCAAGAAGAAAAGCCAAAGGCGUAGCUAGACAUAUUUUUCUAGGCGGGACAGAUAAAAUAAUAUAAAUAUUUGAAUAGGAAAGGCUAUACUUAUACAAAUUUUUGAUUUUGAAAUUGUAUUAAUUUUCGUAGAAAAGUGGGUAGGCCCGGGCUUACCAGGCUUACCCGCCUUUAAAAACAUCAGUGGCUUUCAUCAGUGGCGUAGCUGGCGAGCUACGCCACUGAUGAAAACGUAGGAAAAUCGGGACGAUUUACGCGGGUCAAUAACGGUUUUCGUUGUUUUCGAUUUUAUUUUAUUGUUGCGUAAUUCUGUUUGAAACAUACGCAGAGACCCGAACUAUUCACAGAACGCUUGGUAUUAUAACGUUUUCUAGGCGUGGUAAAAUUUUCAAAACAUUUAGAUGAUUUCCGAGCUCGUGAUGGGCAUCUGACAUUUUCGAGUUUUUUCGGUGUUAUGCGGAUAAAAUCGUUUUACUCGGGUAGAAAUACUCGAUGAUUAGGAGUCGAGUGAGAAACUUUUCUUAUCAACUGAUAAGCUGUCGUUUCGUAUCGAACUGCAGUGGCGCUACAACCGGGGUGGAUGACGGUGUCUAACAUCGGGACCCCAAGGCUCAAAGGAGGCCCUAUCGUAGUUGUAAACUGGAAGGGUGUUUUUAACGCAAUAGAUUCAAAUUAAAUCUGCGAUCAUUAAUCAUUGUUUCUUUACAAUUUAUGUUGCGCAAUUUGUGUAAUGUUCAUUAUAUUCUAAUUUGUUAUUAUUACAACUUAACUGUGUAACAUGCUCGUAUUAUUAUUCCGCUGAUAAUGAAUACAAAUUAACUAGCGCGUUUAAUGACAAGUAGUCGGUAUUAGAAAAAAAUAUUCCCAAGAAUAGGCGCCAGACUGGCCUUAUCAUCGGGGUCCCGAUAGUUACACUACCGGUGUUGAACUCUAUGCUAUUAUCUUAAUUCGUGUUGGUAAUACGUUAUUUAUUUAUGAUAACAAGCUUACGCCCACACGUCAACAUAAUAACAAGUUAUUCAGAUUCAUUACAUCGGAAGAAAAAUUAUAAGUGAAGCAUUAGAAUAUAUAUUUUGGUUCGAAGGGGAGAACAGUGUUGGUUUAAGAUACG